UUCAAAUUAUUUAUAGUAUAAAUAAAUAAAAAAAUUGAUAUGAGAAGUAAGAAAUUGAUAAUUCUUUGAAAGUAAAAGAAAAAAAAAGAAGAAGAAGAUAUAACAGGCUAUUUUAGUGUGUACUAUAGUAGUAUUGCUCAAUUGAAAAUUUGAAGGGUAAAGGUUGGCCACCUAAUUAAUUAACCCUACAAAAUUAUUAUAUAUAUACUAGUGAAGGCCCGCGCUACGCUGCGGGAAAUUUAUAUAAAAAUUUAAAAUUUAAAUUUUAAAUUUAAUUUUUAUUUUUUUGUACAUGAUCCGCAAUUAUACAAAUAAAAAAAAUUUAGAACAGGGGAGGAAAAGGGGGAAAAAGGGUAAAGAAAAAGAUAAUAUCAAAAAAAAAGAAGAAAAGAGGGGGGAAAAGAAAUAUUUUAAAAAAAUAAAUAGUAAAUUAUAUAAUAAAUUAUUAUAUAAUAAUAUAUAUAUAUAAAUAAAAAACUAUAUAUAAUAAAUAAAUAUAUAUUUAUAAAUAAAAUUAUAUAUAUANNNNNNNNNNNNNNNNNNNNNNNNNUAUAUAUAUAUAUAUAUAUAUAUAUGCUAAGGCUACUAUAUUCUUAUGAGUAUAGAUCCCUUUUAUACUUAUAAAUUUUUCGCCAUUGGAUGUGCAAUUAGGAUAAUAGUGAUCCCCUAGGAUUGAGUGGGUGGUUGGUUGAAUAGUAUGAUUUACGGAUGGAAAUGGUCAAAAGUAUGAUUUACGGAUGGAAAUGAUCCCCUAGGAUUGAGUGGGUGGUUGGUUGAAUAGUAUGAUUUACGGAUGGAAAUAGUCAAAAGUAUAGAUCUAACGAUAAAAAACUUAUGAGUAUAAAAAGGGUCUAUACUAAUAUCUAUUAGAGUAUAGUAGCCGAACUCUCUCUAUAUAUAAUUAUAUAUAAUAUAUAUUUUAAUUAUAUAAAUUAAUGUUAUGUAUUUUAAUUAUAUGUAUAUAGAAUUUAGAUUAUUGGGCCCAUAAAAUCAAACCAGCAAAAUCCUACUUUAAUUGCUCUUUCUUUCUCUUUUUCACUCGCUCAUAGAGUUGUUUUUCCUAAUUUUUUUAACAUUAUAAUAUUGCAUUUCAUGCAUUCAUUUUGUAUAUUGAGCUAUUAGACAUUUUUUGUAUCGAAUUUUAGAUAAUAUUUUAUAAAAAUUAAACUAUAGAUUGCACGAUGUUAAGAAUUUCAAGCAGCUCGUUUAGGGCUCGAGCUAGCUCGACUCGAAAUUAGACUCACUCGAGCUUAGCUCGAAUUAAUUUCAAGCCGAGCUUGAGCCUAAAUUUAAGCUCGAAAUUAAUUUCAAACCAAGCUUGAGCUGAGGUAAGCUCGCUCGAGCUUGGCUCGUUUCCACCCCUAGCUAAAUCUAACUAAGAAUGAAUCUCAUAUAUAUAUAUAUAUAUAUAUAUAUAUAUAGUGAGGCUACUAUGCUUCUGAAAGUACGGAGCCUUCCGUGCUUCCAGAUCGUUUUUCAUAUAUAUUGCGACUUUCAAAUCGUCGAUCGACUCUAUUAAACUUAAUCUACAGUAUUUGAAGUACCUAGAAAAUAAAUUAUACGAUUUUUCGAUAUUAUUUGCCUAGUGAACGAAGGGGCUCAAAAUCAACGGCUGAAAAUAAAAAUCUUACAAAACGUGAUAAUAUGACAUUAAAAUUUUAUAUCAAAGAUAUUGAUCUUGUUUUAGUAUAAAGAAUUUUCUAUCAAAAUUUCACGUGAUUUGGAUAUUUCUAUACCGUUAAACUUGCAAACGGCUCACUACGGCCAUUAAAAUUAUUGAUUUUGAACCCCUUCGAUCACUAGGCAAAUGAUAUCGAAAAAUCAUAAAAUUUAUUUUCUAGGUACUUCAAAUACUCUAGAUCAAAUUUAACGAAGUCGAUCGACGAUUCGAAAGUCGCAACAUCAAAAAUGACCUGGAAGCUCGAAAGGCUCCGUGCUUCCAAAAAUUUAGUAGCCUCACUCGAUAUAUAUAUAUAUAUAUAUAUAUAUAUAUGGGGCAAUUUCAUAGAUGCCCCUUCUAAACUUUAAAAUAUCAUAUAUACCCUUCUAAAAUUUAAAAUAUCAUAUAUACCCCUGUAAACAUCAAAAAUUAACAUCAAUACCCCUACUGUUAGUUAUUCUAACUUUACCAUAGUUAUUAAAUGGUUAAAGAUGGGUUAACUUUUAAUAUGACUAGUUUACCCUCAACUCCUAUAAGUAAAAAUGCAUGGAGAUCCCUCAGCUAUAUGUCAUUUUAAAACAACUCCCUCAACUUUUAUAUUUUAGUUGACAUCCCAUUAAUUUUUAAUUUUUUAAAAAAUUGACUAAUUUUAGUGCACGGAAAAUGAGAUUUUGUCCAUUUUUUUUAUGAUUUAACAAAAUCUAGUGGCUCUAUUUAUAUUUUAGCAAAUAAAUAACUAUGUAUAAAAAUUUAAAUAAAAAUAAAAGUUGAGGAUUUUUUUUUAUCUUUGUUUAAUCUUGGAAACUUGCAAAAUUUUUUAACCAAAAUUAUUCACGAUAAUUUUAUCUAUAUUAAAUGCAUUAAAAAACUGAAAUAUUAUAUAUUUUAGCUUUUGAACAAAACUCUCUCUUUUUUUUCAAUCGACGAAAAAAUGCAUGCAUAUAGUUAUAUAAGAACCCAAUUUUGAAUGGGUGAUCUUAAUUGAUGCUGAGCAGGGAUAGUUUCAGUUAUAGAAGCAAAAAAAAAAGUCUCAUUAUAUUCAAAUUCAGUUAUUGUUUUAGUCUAUAUCCAAACUAAACUUGAGCCGAAAUCCGAAACCAAAAACAAAACCAAAAUUAUAUAAAAACAUAUUAUAUAUAAAAUAUAUUUUUUAUAUAUUUUUAAUAAUUAAUGUAUAUAUUAAUAAUUUAGUUUUAUAUUUAGUAUAUUAAAUUAGUUAAAUUUAUAUUUAUUAAAAUUGUCUUAAAAUACCUAUUAGUAAUUUUACUAUUGAUAAGAGAUAAAGGGUAAAAAUGGCAUUUUGAAAAUUUAAUCCCAUUUCUAACGGACUUUAACUAGUGGAGGGUAUGUAUGAAAAUUUUUUAUAUAUUGGAGGGUAUUCAUGAUAUUAUCAAUUUUAGAAGGGUAUUGAUGAAAUUAAAAGU
rnacentral:lncRNA from 1 species